CUUGGUCAUUUAGAGGAAGUAAAAGUCGUAACAAGGUCUCCGUUGGUGAACCAGCGGAGGGAUCAUUACGAGAGUGUCACCACUCCCAACCCAUUGUUUACCUACCCGUCCACCGUGCUUCGGCAGGCAGUCCUGUGGGACAGGGCCUCGCCCCCUCCGGGGGGUGCCUGCCGCUGGCCAACCAACCAUUCUAGCUGUUUUUGUACCAUCUGAGUCUUCCACAAAUAAACAAAACUUUCAACAACGGAUCUCUUGGUUCUGGCAUCGAUGAAGAACGCAGCGAAAUGCGAUAAGUAAUGUGAAUUGCAGAAUUCAGUGAAUCAUCGAAUCUUUGAACGCACAUUGCGCCCACUAGUAUUCUGGUGGGCAUGCCUGUUCGAGCGUCAUUUCAACCCUCAAGCCUGGCUUGGUGUUGGGGCUCUGCGCCUGCAGUCCCUUAAAUCCAGUGGCGGACACGCUAGGUCUCCGAGCGCAGUAGUUUCUUCUCGCUCAGGGCGUCCGGCGUGGGCUUGCCUCGCACCCAUCUUAUCAAGGUUGACCUCGGAUCAGGUAGGAAUACCCGCUGAACUUAAGCAUAUCAAUAAGCGGAGGA
rnacentral:rRNA from 1 species